rnacentral:rRNA from 1 species
CACAUGGUGGAUGCCUUGGCGAUUACAGGCGAUGAAGGACGUAGUAGCCUGCGAAAAGCUACGGGGAGCUGGCAAACGAGCUUUGAUCCGUAGAUGUCCGAAUGGGGAAACCCGGCGCGCAAGCGUCACUCCCACCUGAAUAUAUAGGGUGGGUAGAGCGAACGCAGCGAACUGAAACAUCUAAGUAGCUGCAGGAAAAGAAAUCAACCGAGAUUCCCAAAGUAGUGGCGAGCGAAAUGGGAAGAGCCUGUAUGUGAUAGUCAACUGGUUAGUGGAACGGAAUGGAAAGUCCGGCGAUAGAGGGUGAUAGCCCCGUACACGAAAACUGGUUGGUGGUACUGAGCAUACGACAAGUAGGGCGGGGCACGAGAAACCUUGUCUGAACAUGGGGGGACCAUCCUCCAAGGCUAAAUACUCGUAAUCGACCGAUAGUGAACCAGUACCGUGAGGGAAAGGCG